rnacentral:lncRNA from 1 species
UACCCCUAUUUAUGUUUUUAAGUGAUAAAAAUAACAAUGUUCCACAUGAAUGUAUGAAUAAAUAUACCAUAAAAAUCACCUACGUGCCCCAUUUUCCUAAAACAAACUAGAGAAACGUAUAUUAAAUUUUCAUGUGCAUGCAUUAACAAUGCUUUUUAUAUGUAAUAAUCAGUAACAUUUUAUAAAUGUUGAUAUUUCCUAGGAAAUCGGUCAUGAAUGUGGAUAAAUUGCAUGUUUCAAUCUUACUUUUGCUUAAGAUAUCGAUCAUGAAUAUGACCAACGAAUCGGACAGUAUGAAAACAUACGGUGGCAACGAGGCGGACAGUACACUUUGAAUAGAAAAGAUUCAAUUGUGACAAUAUAAUAAAAAAAAAUG